UACGUAGGUGGCAAGCGUUGUCCGGAUUUAUUGGGUUUAAAGGGUGCGUAGGCGGCUUUGUAAGUCAGUGGUGAAAUACUCCAGCUUAACUGGAGGGGUGCCAUUGAUACUGCGGAGCUUGAGUACAGAUGAGGUAGGCGGAAUUGACGGUGUAGCGGUGAAAUGCUUAGAUAUCGUCAAGAACACCGAUAGUGAAGACAGCUUACUAGGCUGCAACUGACGCUGAGGCACGAAAGUGUGGGGAUCAAAACAGG
rnacentral:rRNA from 1 species